rnacentral:rRNA from 1 species
AACACAUGCAAGUCGAGGGGCAGCGGGGGAAGGACUUGUCCUUCCCGCCGGCGACCGGCGCACGGGUGAGUAACACGUAUGCAACCUACCCCUUACCGGGGGAUAAUCGGUGGAAACGCCGUCUAAUACCGCGUACAAGCACGGGAGGCAAUCUCCCGUGCUCGAAAAGGACCUCGGUCCGGUAGGGGAUGGGCAUGCGGCGCAUUAGGCAGUUGGCGGUGUAACGGACCACCAAACCGACGAUGCGUAGGGGUUCUGAGAGGAAGGUCCCCCACACUGGUACUGAGACACGGACCAGACUCCUACGGGAGGCAGCAGUGAGGAAUAUUGGUCAAUGGGCGCGAGCCUGAACCAGCCAAGUCGCGUGAGGGAAGAAUGUACUAAGUAUUGUAAACCUCUUUUGUCAGGGAACAAAAGUANCCUUGCGAGGUUAUAUGAGUGUACCUGAAGAAAAAGCAUCGGCUAACUCCGUGCCAGCAGCCGCGGUAAUACGGGAGGAUGCGAGCGUUAUCCGGAUUUAUUGGGUUUAAAGGGGUGCGCAGGCGGAGAGUCAAGUCAGCGGUAAAAUUGUCGGGGCUCAACCCCGGCCGGCCGUUGAAACUGGCUCACUGGGGUUGGAGAGAAGUAUGCGGAAUUCGUGGUGUAGCGGUGAAAUGCAUAGAUAU